AGUGAACGCUGGCGGUAGGCCUAACACAUGCAAGUCGAACGGCAGCACAGUAAGAGCUUGCUCUUACGGGUGGCGAGUGGUGGACGGGUGAGGAAUACAUCGGAAUCUACUUUUUCGUGGGGGAUAACGUAGGGAAACUUACGCUAAUACCGCAUACGACCUACGGGUGAAAGCAGGGGAUCUUCGGACCUUGCGCGAUUGAAUGAGCCGAUGUCGGAUUAGCUAGUUGGCGGGGUAAAGGCCCACCAAGGCGACGAUCCGUAGCUGGUCUGAGAGGAUGAUUAGGCACCAUGGAACUUAGGCACCGUCCCGACCCCUAAGGGAGGGAGCAGUGGGGAAUAUUGGACAAUGGGCGGCAGCCUGAUCCCGCCCUACCGCGUGGGUGAAGAAGGCCUUUCGGUUGUAAAGCCCCUUUGUUGGGAAAGAAAAGCAGCAGGUUAAUACCCCGCUGUUCUGACGGUACCCAAAGAAUAAGCACCGGCUAACUUCGUG
rnacentral:rRNA from 1 species